AACGAACGCUGGCGGCGUGUUUAAGACAUGCAAGUCGAACGGGGUGAAGUUGUAGCAAUACCGCUUCAUCCAGUGGCGCACGGGUGCGUAACACGUGAGUUACAUGCCCUGCAGUGGGGAAUAGCCCGCCGAAAGGCGGAUUAAUACCCCAUGGUUCCCGCGAGGGUAAAGGUGGCCGCAAGGCUGCUGCUGCAGAAUUGGCUCGCGGCCUAUCAGCUUGUUGGCGGGGUAACGGCCCACCAAGGCGACGACGGGUACCUGGUCUGAGAGGAUGAUCAGGCACACUGGAACUGAGACACGGUCCAGACACCUACGGGUGGCAGCAGUCGAGAAUAAUUCACAAUGGGCGAAAGCCUGAUGGUGCAACGCCGCGUGGAGGAUGAAGGUCUUCGGAUUGUAAACUCCUGUCAUCGGGGAGUAAGACCUGGGCGUGAAUAGCGCACAGGGUUGAUAGUACCCGAAGAGGAAGGGACGGCUAACUUCGUGCCAGCAGCCGCGGUAA
rnacentral:rRNA from 1 species